UUCUUCAAACACUAACACAUCUAUGCUAUAUAAUAUUAUAGAAAGCUACUGUAACGGUCACGUUACGAAAUUAGCUCUUUAAUUAUUAUUAUAAUUAUUUUUCCUCGGUCUCCAUUUAAAUUCUCUAAUUUCUCGUAUAGGACUACUGGGGUGACGUCAUACCUCGGUGAUGGAACGUACUCCACCUAUCGAGAAUGAUUCGGGUUCUGAGAGAAUUUGACGUUUACCUUGGCGGAGAAGCGCCUCUCGUUCUUUACUUGACUGUUGGCUGUUGUGUCGAAUAGAGGUACCAUAUAGAAUGGCGGAUGAUUUCAUCCAACUUAUUUUAUAACAUCAAGCAAUUUAAAGUAAAGUAAAAAGUUACCACCAAGGAUUGUCUGGAGUGAGGAGACAUGUGGGUGACAACUCCUGUUGGAGUCUAAAUAGGAAUCAUUCGCCAUUUGGGAGAAACCCUACUAUGAAGUCAUAGACCUUAUUUGACCACCUAGAGAAACCACUACAGCCACAGUCAAGUCAUCAUGGGAGUAUGUCGAUUUGGGAACAAGCUAUGGGAGCGUUCCAGCUCAAUUUUCGUCUUGGCACCUGGGCCUACAGGAGUCAUGGGGUCGCACCAUCCUGGUGCAUCAUUUUCUAGGAUGCAACCGCAACCUCGUUUGGGAACAUUUAGUGAGGUGUUUUAGUAACUAUGGGUUUUUUUAUAUUACAGACUAUCUGUUAAAUACACUAUGUUUUUUUUCCAGAUUUAGGUUACCUCUGGUUUUUUUUGACAUAUUUGUAUAUUAGAUUAUUUGGUUCCCAAACUUUGUAUCUACGGUAACUUCUUGUGCACAGGAAUAAGCCUAGAGAAAAUUAGGUUUUUAAUACUUUAUUAUUGCUUUGAUAUUGGUUUAUGUAAUUCGGGUAAAUUUAUUUUUUAAUAUUACUAGCUUGUUUCCCAAAUAUUUUACUGUUAUUCGCUUUAUUCCAUUUGUUCGGUUAAUUUAGGUCAUCGUCGGUAUUUAUCUCAACUUCAUUUCUACUUUAGUCAACUGUAUAUUUAACUUUAUUUAUUCAUUAUUGUAUUUUCCCUUAGUGAGGCUUGGGCCUAUUUCUUUGUAGUAUUUUCAUCUUUGUCAGUUUCCUUUAGUUGUACGUAGCGGGCGUACUAUAACCAUUUGGUAGAAGACUUAUGUAAUUUUGUACCCUAUAUGUUAGUGAGAGGUACUUAUACCUGUAAUUUUGUAACAGAUAACAUUAUUGUUGUUAUCUUAGAGAUAACUUUUUGUAUAACUUAUGUCAUUUUAGAGUCACAUGAUAUACACUUUGUGUAACUCAGAGAUUGUCAAAAAUCUAGUAGUUAUUUUUAAUAAAUAUGUAUUUAUUUUGUAUAUCAAUUAUUUUAUUAUUCCUUUAUGUUCAUUAUUACAGGUUUGAUAUAUUUAAUAUUUGACAGCAGUGUAAGAUACCUGGGAAAAUGAUCGAAGAUCAUUUUCAUGGCGCCCAUGAUUAGUUAGUUUUAUUUAUUUUGUUCGUUUUUAGUCAUUAUUCACCUCCAUUCAUUUUCAGUACAUUAUUCUUAUUUUAUUAUUUCAUCUUCUAGUCAUCAUUACUAUCUAUAUAGAGCUACUGUUCUUCGACAGGCAUGCAAACGAGCCGUAUCCAUCCUUGAGUGUCAAGUUGCUCUCUUGCAUCUAUAGCUAGCCAACUCUAUUCAGUUUGCCUCUGUCUCUUCCCACUUUACUUCUAUCCCUUCUAAUCCCCCUUUCUUCAGUACAACUGCACUUUAGUAGUAUUUUUCCUAUUGCGGCUUCUCAACGUAGAAGCCACUUCACCUUUCUCUUUUCAUCCCAACUAUUUAGUUACUUAGUCUUUUUUUUUCCUUACUUCUGUUGGAGUACCUAUAUCUUUCUUUUUACUUUCACUCCAACAGAAGUUUUCUUAUUUUUGUUACACUGGCAUUAUUACAUUUAUUGUUGGUAAACAUUUUUUUUCCUUACUUCUGUUGGAGUAUAUCUUUCUUUUUACUUUCACUCCAACAGAAGUUUUCUUCCUUUUGUUACACUGGCUGCCCAAUGCGUGGUGCCAACCGUUUUAUGGUUCUAAGACAGUAGUUCUUUUAGUUCAAUUUUCUUUUAUUGGAAUUUUCUGUUUUAUUAACUUUUUGAUAUCUUUGUAUACAUGUUACUUCUGAUUUAUUUUUGGUCUUUUUAUUUUUAUUAAUACUAAACAGGUAGACUUAUGCUGCUUUUGGUUUUGAUUAGUUUAUUUCGAUACCUCAUUUUUAGUUUUAGUGGUACAGCUCAUAUUUUAGUUUGAAUUUUGUAUUUUUAUUGGAAACUUAUUUAUGUAUUUAGAUUGAGUAUACAUAACUAACAUUAUGUUCUAUUAGUUAAAUUUUUAUUCCUUCUACCAAUGGUAGUACGUUUGCGUGUACAAUUAAUCGUUGAAUAUAUGCAUACAUUUUUUUCUAGUAUGGUUAUAUUUUAUACAUAACUAGAAAUCAUUUUCAGUAUUUAGGUAUUUUAUUUACGCUAUUGAUUUGAUUAUUUAUAUAUUUUGCUGGCAUUAUUGAUUUGUUGGUGUGUCACUAAUAUUUUCUCCAUAUGUAUAUUUGUCUUACAAACUUUAGAUUAUAUUUUAUAUUUGUUAUUUUUGAUAUUUGGGUUGUUUGGUAAGACAGGCACACACCACAAAGCAAUAUCAGUCCAGAACAUUAGCUUCUAUACAUGAUACGUUGAAUUCGUAUGGUUCGGAUGAUUACAGAUGGUCAUCCAAAUUAUUUUUCUUUAAUUGGUAGUGUUAAACAUAACAAUUAUAAUUAUUGUAUAGUAAAGUAGUUCCAUUAUCCAUCUCAGUUUCUAGUUUUAUUAUUGUUGAUAAUAAUAUUAUAUCAAUGUGGGUACCAUAAUGUACUUAAUGCUUUUAUAAAUCAGAUACUUUAGGUUGAGAUUCAAAUAUAAAUUCUUUAUUAGUUAGGAAACAUUGAUACUAUUUUUCUAUUAAGUUUAGAACAAUCCUCAGAGGAAGAUUAACUUAACGGUGUCGUUCAAGCUAAUCUCUUCUUCUGUUUGUCUUUAGCUUAGCUCAAUCGUUAGUAUGGUUAGAAAUUUUAGUCUGAUUUUUUUUUACCAUCUGAUAAUGCAGGUACCUACAUACAUUGCUUGAUUUCAUCUUUGGCUUUGUUGUUGAUGACUUUAUUUAUGAAUUUAUUACUUAUUGGUUUAAGUAUUAUGUAGUACUUUAUGUAUGAGUUUAUUUUUUUUUGGUAUUAUACAUGAUGUAUUUUAAUUAUUAUUAUGAGUCAAUAUUAUUAAUUGCUAAUCCUGUCAGUAGGAUUAUCCAAUUAAUAAAAACUUCACUUGUAUUUUUGUCUAGUUUUUGCACACCUAACCCCUAAGUUAGAAGGGUUGUUGAUUAUUAUGAUAUUUAGGUAUAUAUUGGGAUAGGUAAGCUCAUACAAGUACUCUUGUUUAAUAAUGGAUAUUAUGAUGGAACUAUGUUAACUACCAUAUCUCAGGUUAUAUCAUUUUGAAUAUUUGAUUACUUACUAAUUUUUUAUUAUUUUUAUAUCUUGUUAUUGGAUUUGCCAUUUUGGAAAGAUGGUGUAUUUUUUAAUUUGGUAUUGGGUUACUCUAUUGACAUUUGUCUCCAAUAUCUUAAAUGCUUUAUAAUAAUUCAGAUCCUUAGUUCCUACACAGUAUGAUUCUGGAAUUAGUUUGGAAUGUUGAUGUAUAUGUGAAUUCUUGAGUCUUCCAUAUUUCUACUUAUGAAUUGGUCUGUUGAUACUCUGAUUUGUGAAUGCGUGGGUUCGAAGUUGUUGUUCGGUAACUGGCCAGUGCUGUUCGAUUAAAUUUCGUAAUCUAUGUCUUUCAUGGCUGAGUAUGCAGAUGUUUAUUUAUCAUAAUAUUUCUGGUCAGGAAAUGUCUGCAACAGGUCCUAAUCAUUCUAGUGUUAGUCCAAUUAUUCCAGUUACAUUUUUACCCUUUGAUAGGGAAGUGUUUAGUUGAUAUUACGUCUCGUACUUCAUAGUAUGUCUGUUUGUUGACUAUCCCUAUACAUCGUAGAUCCCUUAAUUUAGUAUUUGAGGUGUUUAGACAAAUGAGUUGUUCAUUUGAGUAUAUUCCCAUUUCUUUCCUUAGGCAUUAGUUUUGUUAUUUAGAUUUUGGAACAUUUCCUGAAUAAUUCCAUGUAUGUGAGAACGCAUGAAUCUGCAGUUUUAUUUAAAACUUGUUGCUCGUUCUCAUCAAUUUUUUUUUCUUAUCACUUAUCCUAUUUUUUUUUCCUAUCACCUAUCACAUAUUUUUUUUUCUUCCUAUUAUUUAUCAUAGUGCCAUAGACCUUGUAAGUUCACCAUUCAUUCUGUUUUCUUUCUUACUUAUUCUUAUAUUAGUACCUUAUCUGAGUCUGGUUAUUCUCAUACAUCUGUUGUAGCAACAUGCUAUAGUUCGCGAAUACCAGCACGAAUUAAGUUUAUGUAGUUUCUAGAAUAUCUUAGUCAAUACACUUUAGGUAUUUAUCUUACUUUUGAUUUAGUUAGGUUACAUCUCUGUUACUUAGUCUGUUGGCAAUAUUUAUUCUGACUUAUUUUGAUUACUUAGUUUGGAUAGGUUCAUAUUACCGGAUGAGGGUGUAUGUAGACCUAAUUUAUUUAUUUUGUUCAGUAUUAGUUACCAUUGGAUCCAAUAAUUUAGUUUAUUUAGUAUUAGUAAGAAUUGGUCCAUAAAUCAGCGGCGGAUCCAGAAGUGUUAAGAGGGGGGGCCGAUCGGCUAAAUCUUUAGAUAGUUUUCUACUACGCCGGCCUUUUUUAGCCUACCGACCCACCGGAAAAGUCCCGUACUAUCUCUGUAUCUUUAGAGUACGAAGGGUGAGUCAAGUCCCACAGCACUUAGGCCACAAUUGACCCAUUGUGCAUCCUCCCAGGGGGCUGUCGUCCUUAGCUCAUUGUUCAUCCUACCAUUUCCAGGAAGGUGGACAAAUAACCAGGGAACAUCUCCCCUAUGUCGGCACGUGUAGGACAAAGGUCGCCGAACGCAUACUCUCGUAUUGACGAAAACUCCAGCCAUUCAUAUAGAAUAUAGAACAUGCUCGACAGUUUCGUCAUCUCGUUCACACCUCCUGCAUAGAGGUGUGUCUCCUAGCCCCAGUGUGUGAAGGUGUUUUCUUACUUGACAAUGGCCAGUUAAAAAACCAACUGUCAAGCGUAGGUUUUUCCUGGUCAUAAGUUCUACCUUCUGGCUGAGACAAUGGUCUACCAGAUCUUCCAUCUCCUUUGUUGGUGGUACGGUGACUGCAACUGAGGGUAGGUAAACCGAUGCUAGUAUUAACUCUAUUUUUGCCUUUUGACCAUGGCAAUUUUACUUUAACCGCAGUUAUGUCUGAGGUGCAAAGCUUCACGAGGGGGAGGCUUUGAUUUUUCUGGGAACAUAUAUUGCUGUUCUCGGUUGUUGGUUGUUUUUUAAGCUGAAGAUUUGACCAUUUAGACUGAUAAAACCAGUUAUUUUGGUCUUAGUUAUCCAAGGUUCUCGGAUUAAUGCUAUUGCAUUCUCCGUUACAUCCAGGUCACGGCAGAUUGUCGUCGUUGCCACCUUUUUGUGUUGGAGAUUGCAUUGAAUAAUAAUUACUUUUUUCCCGAUGUCCUUGGCCAUGGCGAAGGUGUCGUACUAAUUCUUUUAGGCGUUCAUUUCCUCCUCGAUUGAGGAGGCGACAACCUUAGUCACUUUGCGCUUCCUCUGCAGGGUUCGUCGACCACCAUCUGAGGGUCGUCGUCCUGCUGUGGACCAUGGGUGUCUCAGUCUUAGUGACCGUCUCCGGCUGCCGAGUAGGUUCCCUUGGACGCGUAGCUCAGCCUCAUUGGUCUUUUCUUAACGACAGCCAUGUCCUCGUCUACGAUUCCAAAGACGAACAGGUGUCUCGAAACAGGUGGAAUAUCGAAAAUUGUUAUUAAGAAAAGUUGUUUGGAAUUAAAAAAUUUGUUUUAAUGUUCAAUUACAUCCUUCUAAUUAAAAUAUUGUACUUUUUUCCCGAUGUCCUUGGCCAUGGUGAAGGUGUCGUACUAAUUCUUUUAGGCGUUCAUUUCCUCCUCGAUUGAGGAGGCGGCAACCUUAGUCACUUUGCGCUUCCUCUGCAGGGUUCGUCGACCACCAUCUGAGGGUCGUCGUCCUGCUGUGGACCAUGGGUGUCUCAGUCUCAGUGACCGUCUCCGGCUGCUGAGUAGGUUCCCUUGGACGCGUAGCUCAGCCUCAUUGGGCUUUUCUUAACGACAGCCAUGCCCUCGUCUCCGAUUCCAAAGACGAACAGGCGUCCGUUUGGAUCAGUCUUUACCUAGUGGUGGAAGGUGCACUGUCUCGUAACUGACAUGUCUGGACUUUACGCCGUUAGCCUCUGCAGCACUCUUUCUGGGAAAUCGGAGGUGGUAGUAACAUCCCCCGAGAUCCAUAGAGAGGCUUUGGUAAGCUUCCGGAGCUUAUCCUGACUUAUAACAGCUAGUGACGCUUCCUCCCACGGUUUGAAGUCAUCUAUAACCUUUUCCAGCCACUCAGUCGUCACCACAUACUACUCUGAUGAUCUCACCAGAAUAGGUCCACGAUUUAAACGUGUGGCUUUUGCUUGACUGUUGGAGUUGGACAAGAUUGCUCUGUCCAAUUCCUCCAUCAGGCUGCGUUUGAUAAGGUCUUCCCGGUCAGCAGUGACCGAGUGACCUUGCCUUACGGGUUUACCUAAUCUAUGAUAGCGACGGAACUAUUGUCAGAGACUCUGAUGCGAGCACCUUCACCUUUGUUUUGGGAGGGGCUGGAGAGGUAUGGGUGGCUCCCGUAGGCUCGUAGGUAUCUUCCUGGCCUUCCUCCUUUUUUUACCUCGGCACCACAGGGUCUGAGGCGUUUUGGUCGAUUUCUCUGAGGUGAUCCGUGUCCAGUCUUUGUUUGGGCCGAUGUUUGAGGUGAACAUUGCUGUCCAUCCUCCACUCCGGCUUUCGACUGAACUGAACGUUUUGUCCUGUACUAAUAAAAUUUAUUUAUAAUUCAUAUAAUAUAAAAUUUAUAUUUAUAGGUAUAUAUAUUUAUAUAUUUAUAUCUAUUUCAUCUGUUUGAUUUUUAUUUAUAUAGAUAUAUGUAAUUAAUACAUAUAUCUUAGUCAAUAUUAUAAAAUCUAUUAUAAAAAAUGUCUAAUUAUCUGUUUGGAAAAAAAAGUUAAAUCACUUGGUUUGAGAGGGGGGGCCGAUCGCCCCCAUCGCCCCCCCUUGGAUCCGCCACUGCCAUAAAUUUGCCUGAUCGUUCUUCUUUGGAUAUACUCCUAUAUAAAUCUGGUGUCCAUUGAUAGUCCGAUUCUGGAUAAGUGUCCGAUUCUUCAUUUAUUUUGUGUAUUUGGUUGGAUAGGUUCGUAUUACCGGAUGUGGGUGUACGUAGACCUGAUCUGUUUAUGUGGUUUAGUAUUGGUGUGAAUUGGUCCAUAAAUUUGCCUGGUCGUUCUUCUUUGGAUAUACCUUUUAUGAAUCUGGUGUCCACUGAUAGUUCGACUUUGGAUUAAAUGUCCGAUUCCACAUCUAUUUUGGUUAUUGAGUUUUGGAUUCCUUUGGUAUGUUUAUUAUUGGUAUUAUUUGGCAUUAGUGAGAGUUGUUCCAUAAAUCUUCCUGAUUGUUCUUCUCUGGAUAUACUAUUAUGAAUCUGGUGUCCAUUGUUAGUUCAAUUUUGGAUUAAGUGUUCAAUUCUUUACUUAUUUUAGUUACUGAUUUUUUUUUAUUCACUUGGGUGCAUUUGCUUUUGAUAUGGUUCGAAUUGGCUCACACCUUUUCCUGGUUGUUCCGUCCUUGGAUAUAUCCUUUAUAAAUCUGAUGUCCAUGGAUAGCUCAAUUUUGGUUUUAGUGCCCAAUUCGACACUUAGUUAUUAUUAUGAACUUUAGUACAAUAUUUAGUUUGUUUGGUUUUUGAAGCAAUAUUAAUAUUGGUAACAGAGAGUAACAUAGUAACAUUUUAGUAUGAAUUUGAGUCAUAUAUUUAUUUUUCCUUGAUCAUUAGUUUAUAUUUAGAAGUAAUCUUGCGAAUCAACGUGGAUUGUUAGACUAUUGUAAAUUUAGUCGUUAAUAUUUUGAAGUUUAGAAAAAAAAUUUUAUGGAUAAAUUUUUUUUCCCGAGUAGAAGGGGAUUGUAACGGUCACGUUACGAAAUUAGCUCUUUAAUUAUUAUUAUAAUUAUUUUUCCUCGGUCUCCAUUUAAAUUCUCUAAUUUCUCGUAUAGGACUACUGGGGUGACGUCAUACCUCGGUGAUGGAACGUACUCCACCUAUCGAGAAUGAUUCGGGUUCUGAGAGAAUUAGACGUUUACCUUGGCGGAGAAGCGCCUCUCGUUCUUUACUUGACUGUUGGCUGUUGUGUCGAAUAGAGGUACCAUAUAGAAUGGCGGAUGAUUUCAUCCAACUUAUUUUAUAACAUCAAGCAAUUUAAAGUAAAGUAAAAAGUUACCACCAAGGAUUGUCUGGAGUGAGGAGACAUGUGGGUGACAACUCCUGUUGGAGUCUAAAUAGGAAUCAUUCGGUGAGAUCUACUUUUUCAUAAUAAUUUUUUUUAUGUAUAGCCUUGGUUUUUGUUAUGGAACAUUAGAUAUACUUGGUUCAUUUUUAAACUUUCUUAGUCAAUCUAUUAAGGGAAGGAUGUAGAUUAUUUCGAUCUUUAUAUUAUCUUUAUAUCGAUCUUUUAUAUUAAUGUGGUUUUUGGUUUUACAUAACCAAACAUUUUUGAAGUCCUCAAAUUAAUAUUGAAAAUAAUUACCAUUUCUCUGUAGGUUUUAAAUUAUUCAACAUCCAAUAUUUUAUAAAUUCAAUAUAUUUUUACAGAUAUUUCCUCAAAUAAAUCAUUUCAAUGUCAUUUGUCCAUGUAUUCACACUCAAAACAGUUCAAGGUUACCUGAGAUUGGUUUUUGUUCCAGUUUUAAUGGUCGGUUUUUCUAUACUGUUGCUUCUAAAAAGUUCCUCAAUUAUUUCUUCUUCCCUUUACUUUUUGCUCAUGUUUAAAAUGAGAAAUAAAACUGGGAAUGUUUUUUAGCCAUUUGGGAGAAACCCUACUAUGAAGUCAUAGACCUUAUUUGACCACCUAGAGAAACCACUACAGCCACAGUCAAGUCAUCAUGGGAGUAUGUCGAUUUGGGAACAAGCUAUGGGAGCGUUCCAGCUCAAUUUUCGUCUUGGCACCUGGGCCUACAGGAGUCAUGGGGUCGCACCAUCCUGGUGCAUCAUUUUCUAGGAUGCAACCGCAACCUCGUUUGGGAACAUUUAGUGAGGUGUUUUAGUAACUAUGGGUUUUUUUAUAUUACAGACUAUCUGUUAAAUACACUAUGUUUUUUUCCAGAUUUAGGUUACCUCUGGUUUUUUUUGACAUAUUUGUAUAUUAGAUUAUUUGGUUCCCAAACUUUGUAUCUACGGUAACUUCUUGUGCACAGGAAUAAGCCUAGAGAAAAUUAGGUUUUUAAUACUUUAUUAUUGCUUUGAUAUUGGUUUAUGUAAUUCGGGUAAAUUUAUUUUUUAAUAUUACUAGCUUGUUUCCCAAAUAUUUUACUGUUAUUCGCUUUAUUCCAUUUGUUCGGUUAAUUUAGGUCAUCGUCGGUAUUUAUCUCAACUUCAUUUCUACUUUAGUCAACUGUAUAUUUAACUUUAUUUAUUCAUUAUUGUAUUUUCCCUUAGUGAGGCUUGGGCCUAUUUCUUUGUAGUAUUUUCAUCUUUGUCAGUUUCCUUUAGUUGUACGUAGCGGGCGUACUAUAACCAUUUGGUAGAAGACUUAUGUAAUUUUGUACCCUAUAUGUUAGUGAGAGGUACUUAUACCUGUAAUUUUGUAACAGAUAACAUUAUUGUUGUUAUCUUAGAGAUAACUUUUUGUAUAACUUAUGUCAUUUUAGAGUCACAUGAUAUACACUUUGUGUAACUCAGAGAUUGUCAAAAAUCUAGUAGUUAUUUUUAAUAAAUAUGUAUUUAUUUUGUA